AACGAACGCUGGCGGCAGGCUUAACACAUGCAAGUCGAACGCCCCGCAAGGGGAGUGGCAGACGGGUGGGUAACGCGUGGGAACGUACCUUUCGCUUCGGAAUAUUCCCGGGAAACUGGGAGCAAUGCCGAAUACGCCGUAUUGGGAAAGAUUUAUCGGCGAAAGAUCGGCCCGCGUUAGAUUAGCUAGUUGGCGGUGUAAUGGACCACCAAGGCUACGAUCUAUAGCUGGUCUGAGAGGAUGAUCAGCCACACUGGGACUGAGACACGGCCCAGACUCCUACGGGAGGCAGCAGUGGGGAAUCUUGGACAAUGGGCGCAAGCCUGAUCCAGCCAUGCCGCGUGAGUGAAGAAGGCCUUAGGGUUGUAAAACUCUUUCGCCGGAGAAGAUAAUGACGGUAUCCGGAGAAGAAGCCCCGGCUAACUUCGUGCCAGCCGCCGCCGUAACAC
rnacentral:rRNA from 1 species